GUAUUGUUUGCCCAUCUCAGGAACAUCAUAGUUUAGGGGAAGCCGGUGCAAAGCCGGCACGGUGCCGCCACUGUAACCGGAGACAAGUUUCAUUUGUCCCACCGGAAGUCAGAAAACCACCUGAGUCCAUUGCGCCUUC
rnacentral:ncRNA from 2 species